CAGCAGCCGCGGUAAAACGUAGGGUGCGAGCGUUAAUCGGAAUUACUGGGCGUAAAGUGUGCGCAGGCGGUUGUGUAAGACAGGUGUGAAAUCCCCGGGCUUAACCUGGGAACUGCGCUUGUGACUGCACAACUAGAGUAUGGCAGAGGGGGGUGGAAUUCCACGUGUAGCAGUGAAAUGCGUAGAGAUGUGGAGGAACACCGAUGGCGAAGGCAGCCCCCUGGGCCAAUACUGACGCUCAUGCACGAAAGCGUGGGGAGCAAACAGGAUUAGAUACCCCCGUAGUCCCUGUCUCUUAUAA
rnacentral:rRNA from 1 species